rnacentral:lncRNA from 1 species
GAGCAGUAACUGUUUUCUCAAGGGAAUCUUUCAACAUAUUGCAGGUCUCUAUAAAAAAAUCUUUGCGACAAACUUGUCAUCCUCUGGAUUUAAAAAGUAGGCUGGCAUUAGCUCUUAGAAAAUAGAAAAAAAAUGUGCUUUUUUUCCCAAUGAUAAUUUUAGUCCUUUCUUACAACCACAAGCCCUUAAGCUAUUAGUCUUAUUUUUAGAUGCCAUAGCUAUGGAUAGUUAUAGAACUACAGAGUUCAGUUUAAAGGACCAUUCAAUUGUAGUAGCAAUCAUUCUGAUAUUUCCAUAGUAGUGUUCAAAUAAGACUAUUCCAAGCCAACAAGAAUCUAUUCUCUCCUCAUUCAGAAAGAUUUCCCCUAUAUUUAUGAACACUGCAUGUUCCAUGUUUAGUAUCUCAGAGAAAGUUUCUCCACAGUUAUUUGUUUUUGAAGCCUUGAUCCAUCAUCAGACAGAUAAUGAAGAGUUAGUUACCAAACUGUUUAGUGGUUUUCAUUGUAAAAAAAAAAAAAUAAGAAGAAAAUAAAAAGACACAUUUGGGGUUGUUACUGCCAUCCAGAGGUCAUGUUUUCUAGGUAUAACAGCUUGGAUGAUGCUUUGAAAGUUUAGGAAAGCUGCAUGAACACAUUGCAUCACAAAGCUAAUUUGGUGACUCUCUUCUGCAGUGCCACCACACAGAGGAUCCAAUUCAAGGUCAGCCUGAGCUAUCUAGGAAGACCCUAUAUCAAAAAGUAAAACAACCAGUUGUAACAUUAACCAUUAGGAUAUGCUAUAGAAGUUGAUGGAAGAGAUCACAAGUAGGAGGCUAGCCUGGGCUACAUAUUUGGUGAAGGAGAUGGCUUAGUGUUGAAGCACUAAGUGUAAGCUGGAUGACCCAUGUUUGGAUCCCAAGCUCCCACAUAAAUGUCAGAUAAAUAUGGUGGCCUGCUUGGUUUUUGAGCUGAAGAUGGAUAAAGGAAAUCUCUGGAGCAAGUUGGCUAGCAAUACUGUGUGCCAAGCUCGGUGUUUAACAGAAUAACCCUACCUCCAAAGGGUAAAGUGGGAGAAAACAUGAGGAAGUACUUCUGACAUCAACCUCAGACCUCCACACCCUUUUGCACACACAUGUGAGUUUACACACAUACAUACAUACACAUGAU